rnacentral:rRNA from 1 species
UAUCUCUGUAGAGUCUGCAUAUCAAUAAGCGGAGGAAAAGAAACUAACUAGGAUUCCCUCAGUAACGGCGAGUGAAGCGGGAAGAGCUCAAAUUUGAAAUCUUCAAGGUUUUACCUUGACGAAUUGUAGUUUAAAGAAGUGUUUUCUGUUGGAGUUUUGGUAAAAGUUCUUUGGAAUAGGACAUCAUAGAGGGUGAGAAUCCCGUGUUUGACCAUUAUUUCCAGCUUUGUGAUACACUUUCAAAGAGUCGGAUUGUUUGGGAAUGCAGUCCAAAAUGGGUGGUAAAUUUCAUCUAAAGCUAAAUACUGGCGAGAGACCGAUAGCGAACAAGUACCGUGAGGGAAAGAUGAAAAGAACUUUGAAAAGAGAGUUAAACAGUACGUGAAAUUGUCAAAAGGGAAGCGUUUGACACCAGUGUUGUUUUCUCGAAAAUCAAUUAAAAAUGGUGGGAUUUUGUGUUGUAUUGACUUUAUCAGCUUUCUGCACUCUUUUCCUAGUCUUUUUAAUGCACUUUUCGUUUAACAAGUCAACAUCAAUUUCUUUUGUUGUAAAAGAGUCAUUGGAAGGUGGCUUUCUUCUCGGAGAAAGUGUUUAUAGCCUUUGGCUUCUGCAAUCGGAGAGAUUGAGGUCUGCAGCGUAGAUCCUUCGGGGUUAGAUACAUUUGUGCUAAGUUAUAGCCUUUCAUAGACAACUUGUUGACUAUGAUCAGUCAUGUAGCUUACUCGCUUAUGCUAUUUUACCUACGCUUAGGAUGUUGAGUCAUCACACAUCUCU